GCAGUCGACGACUCUGGUAUUGAUUGGUGCUUGCAUCAUGAUUUACAUUUGAGUGAGUGGCGAACUGGUGAGUAACACGUGGGAAACCUGCCCAGAAGCGGGGGAUAACACCUGGAAACAGAUGCUAAUACCGCAUAACAACUUGGACCGCAUGGUCCGAGUUUGAAAGAUGGCUUCGGCUAUCACUUUUGGAUGGUCCCGCGGCGUAUUAGCUAGAUGGUGGGGUAACGGCUCACCAUGGCAAUGAUACGUAGCCGACCUGAGAGGGUAAUCGGCCACAUUGGGACUGAGACACGGCCCAAACUCCUACGGGAGGCAGCAGUAGGGAAUCUUCCACAAUGGACGAAAGUCUGAUGGAGCAACGCCGCGUGAGUGAAGAAGGGUUUCGGCUCGUAAAACUCUGUUGUUAAAGAAGAACAUAUCUGAGAGUAACUGUUCAGGUAUUGACGGUAUUUAACCAGAAAGCCACGGCUAACUACGUGCCAGCAGCCGCGGUAAUACGUAGGUGGCAAGCGUUGUCCGGAUUUAUUGGGCGUAAAGCGAGCGCAGGCGGUUUUUUAAGUCUGAUGUGAAAGCCUUCGGCUCAACCGAAGAAGUGCAUCGGAAACUGGGAAACUUGAGUGCAGAAGAGGACAGUGGAACUCCAUGUGUAGCGGUGAAAUGCGUAGAUAUAUGGAAGAACACCAGUGGCGAACGCGGCUGUCUGGUCUGUAACUGACGCUGAGGCUCGAAAGUAUGGGUAGCAAACAGGAUUAGAUACCCUGGUAGUCCAUACCGUAACGAUGAAUGCUAAGUGUUGGAGGGUUUCCGCCCUUCAGUGCUGCAGCUACGCAUAGCAUUCGCUUGG
rnacentral:rRNA from 2 species